rnacentral:rRNA from 1 species
GUGAGGAAUAUUGGUCAAUGGGCGGGAGCCUGAACCAGCCAAGUCGCGUGAAGGAAGAAGGAUCUAUGGUUCGUAAACUUCUUUUGCAGGGGAAUAAAGUGCAGGACGUGUCCUGUUUUGUAUGUACCCUGAGAAUAAGGAUCGGCUAACUCCGUGCCAGCAGCCGCGGUAAUACGGAGGAUCCGAGCGUUAUCCGGAUUUAUUGGGUUUAAAGUGUGCGUAGGUGGUUUGAUAAGUCAGCGGUGAAAGUUUGCAGCUUAACUGUAAAAAUGCCUUUGAAACUGUCGGACUUGAGUGUAAAUGAGGUAGGCGGAAUGCGUAGUGUAGCGGUGAAAUGCAUAGAUAUCACGCAGAACUCCGAUUGCGAAGGCAGCUUACUAAGCUACAACUGACACUGAAGCACGAAAGCGUGGGGAUCAAACAGGAUUAGAAACCCGAGUAGUCC